GUUGUAGGACCACGACAUAUUCGACCAUACUGGAUAGUAGAACAGCCUGGAAAGGCUGGCCAUAGAAGGUGAAAGCCCUGUAGACGAAAUCCAGAGUGGGAAUUAGUGGUAUCCUGAGUAAUACAUCACACGUGGAACGAUGUAUGAAACAGCGCGGACCACCGCGCAAGGCUAAAUACUAGUUGGCGACCGAUAGUGAACAAGUACCGUGAGGGAAAGGUGAAAAGAACCGCUGUGAGCGGAGUGAAAUAGAACCUGAAACCGUAUGUCUACAAAGUGUCAGAGCAGAGCGAUCUGCGAUGGCGUGCCUUUUGUUUAAUGAGUCUGCGAGUCAGUGUUUGUGGCAAGACUAAGGGCUUCCGGCCCGGAGUCGCAGCGAAAGCAAGUCCGAAUAGGGCGAAUCAAGUCGCAGGUACUGGACCCGAAGCGGAGGUGACCUACCCUUGGCCAGGUUGAAGCAUGGGUAAAACCAUGUGGAGGACCGAACAGGUGAACGUUGAAAAGUUCUCUGAUGAGCUGAGGGUAGGAGUGAAAGGCUAAUCAAACCCCGUGAUAGCUGGUUCUCUUCGAAAUGCAUUUAGGUGCAGCGUCACGUGCUGAUGCGCGGGGGUAGAGCACUGACAAGGCUAGGGGGCACACCCGCUUACCAAACCUUAUCAAACUCCGAAUACCGUGCAAUGGAACGUGGCAGUGAGACAGUGGGGGAUAAGCUUCAUUGUCGAGAGGGAAACAACCCAGACCAGCAGCUAAGGUGCCUAAAUAACGCUCAGUGGAAAGGAUGUGGGAUUACACAGACAGUGAGGAUGUUGGCUUAGAAGCAGCCACCAUUUAAAAAAUGCGUAAUAGCUUACUCAUCGAGUGAUCCUGCGCCGAAAAUGAUUGGCGAUCAAGCGUUAUACCGAAGCUCUGGACUUUGCCGCAAGGCAGAGUGGUAGAAGAGCGUUGCAUGCGCAUUGAAGGGUGAUGGCGACUGACCCUGGAGCGCAUGCAAGUGAGUAUGCAGACAUGAGUAACGUAAAGCCGGGUGAAAUCCCCGGCCGCCGUAAACCCGAGGUUUCCAGGGCAACGUGUUUCGUCCCUGGGUUAGCCGGGACCUAAGCCGAGGCCGAGAGGCGUAGGCGAUGGACAUCAGGUUAAUAAUCCUGAGCUCGCGACCCUUAAACUGGGGGGACGCAUGAGAAAAGAUGACUAGGUUAUUGAAUUCCGAGUUGAGUCCACGGACUCAGCGCAUCAUUGGAUCGAGUGCCAAGAAAAGCCCCAGCGUAUGCUAAGCGACCCGUACCGCAAACCGACACAGGUGGGUGGGUAGAAUAUACCAAGGCGUAAGAGUGAAACCUGGUUAAGGAACUCGGCAAAUUAGCCCCGUAACUUCGGAAGAAGGGGUGCCUGCAGCGAUGCAGGCCGCAGAGAAAUGGCCCAACCGACUGUUUAUCAAAAACACAGCACUCUGCAAAGACGCAAGUCGAAGUAUAGGGUGUGACACGUGACCAAUGCCGAAAGAUUAAGGCAAGGGGUUAGCCGCAAGGCGAAGCUCUAAACCCAAGUCCCGGUGAAUGUCGGCCGUAACUAUAACGGUCCUAAGGUAGCGAAAUUCCUUGUCGGGUAAGUUCCG
rnacentral:rRNA from 1 species